CCUACGGGCGUGCAGCAGUGGGGAAUAUUGCACAAUGGGGGGAACCCUGAUGCAGCGACGCCGCGUGGGUGAAGGAGUACUUCGGUACGUAAAGCCCUAUCAGCAGGAAAGAAAAUGACGGUACCUGACUAAGACGCCCCGGCUAACUACGUGCCAGCAGCCGCGGUAAUACGUAGGGGGCAAGCAUUAUCCGGAUUUACUGGGUGUAAAGGGAGCGUAGGCGGUAUGUCAAGUCAAGGGUGAAAUCCCCGCGCUCAACGUGGGAACUGCCUUUGAAACUGGCAAACUGGAGUGUGUGAGAGGAUAGUGGAAUUCCAGGUGUAGGAGUGAAAUCCGUAGAUAUCUGGAGGAACAUCAGUGGCGAAGGCGACUAUCUGGCACAUAACUGACGCUGAGGAGCGAAAGCGUGGGUAGCAAACAGGAUUAGAUACCCUUGUAGUC
rnacentral:rRNA from 1 species